rnacentral:rRNA from 1 species
GGGAAUCUUGCACAAUGGGGGCAACCCUGAUGCAGCGACGCCGCGUGAGCGAUGAAGCCCUUCGGGGCGUAAAGCCCUUUCGACCGGAACGAUAAUGACGGUACCGGGAGAAGAAGCUGCGGCUAACUACGUGCCAGCAGCCGCGGUAAUACGUAGGCAGCAAGCGUUGUUCGGAGUUACUGGGCGUAAAAAGUGCGUAGGCGGUUUUCUAAGUUCGGUGUGAAAUCUCCCGGCUUAACUGGGAGGGUGCGCCGAAGACUUGGAAGCUGGAGUGUGGGAAAGGCAGGCGGAAUUCCUGGUGUAGCGGUUAAAUGCGUAGAUAUCAGGAGGAACACCGGCGGUGUAGACGGCUUGCUAGACCAUAACUGACGCUGAGGCACGAAAGCGUGGGUAGCAAACA